rnacentral:lncRNA from 1 species
GCAAAAUAAAAUUCAAAGCCUUUGUAGUCAAAAAUGAAGUUCCUGCAAAGAACGCUCUUAUGCAUCAAGCUGAAAUGACCAUUUUUUAAAAUUAACAACUUAAAUGACCAUUGAAACGAUUUGAUUUUCAAGUCACAUUGCAUUUGAUUCACAAAAUAGUCUUGGUCAAUAAGGUAAUGGCUUGUCAAGUGAUGUCUUAUUGGCUGUGUUCUUAGAGAUAGACUAACAGAGGUGACAAAUAUACAGUUCGAAAAUGUUGUCACCCACCUACACAGUUACAGCAAGGACAGGAUGAACACAUGUGGAACAGAGCAAUUUAAAUGGAAAUGUCUCAAGUAGGGUUACGCUGUAUUAUACAGCAGAAAGGUGACUUCUAAGAGGACCUUGAUGUAGGGAGAUAGAUUGGUGAGUCUCCACUCCUACCAUGUGCAAAGGGUCAAGAAACCUCCA